rnacentral:lncRNA from 1 species
AUGCAUGGACAGCCAUUGCUCAUGUCUACCUACCUACUCUCAUUUCUAUUAGGUGAUUGCCCUUCCCCAUCUCAUGGAUUACGAGAGGACUGUCACUCAUAUUACCUCACCACUCCUGGCCUCAGGGAUGGGCAUUUGAUACUUGUGGCAACUCUGUCCAUGGUACUCUGCCUACAAGUUGCUGACCAUAGAGAGUUACAUUGUCCAGCUUUUCCUCCACGAAAUGGAGCAGCAACAAAAGGCCAGAUCAUUCAACCUAAUGCUUCCUCAAGUCUGAUAACAUUAGCGUUUCUCUCAGAUAUCAGUUCAAGUAAGGAGUUGCCAAUAGAAGCAAAAGAGUCCUGAGAGAAGCUGAGGGCUUCAAGCAAUGAGAUUUGAGUCUACCUCCCUUCAUCAAAAGUGCAGCUAGAAAAACUUGGAGAAGCAACCAGAAUGGGAGUUGGGAGGGUAAUACUUUUACAUCAAAACAACACUAGCUUUAUUGGCUGAAAUAAGAGCAAAGUAU